GAGUUUUUAAAGUUUAUGUUGGAGGAAGUGGGAUGCCAACAUGACAAGACUGUGUUUGAUGUGUGGAGUUGAAGUAACCUCAUCGAAUGCUUCGCCUUGGCGGCCGGCUGGGAGAACUUAUUAGGCCUCCCACCGGCAGUGGCACUGAGGAUGUGGAACCAUCUGCAGCGUCGUGGAAGUGGUUCUCCUUGAUGAAGGAGGAAGGCCUCGUCCUGAGAGGAGAGCCCUUCCACAUCUUCUGCACCAUCCCCUACCUCAGUGCCACCAGAGCGGACAGGGGAAGAGGAGGAGACAGAAGCCAAGGGGCCACGGCGGGGUGGCCUUUUCAGUCUCCUCCAGCAGGCAGAGAGGAGGAGAGGGCCAGGAGAGAGGAAGAAAGAGGACAAAGGGGGAGCAACGAGAGCUGCUCCCAUGUGGGGAUAAAACAAGCCCUCAGCAACUGGCAUCCAGGAGCUGAUUGGUGGGACAUCGAUUGGCUCACUAAUGGGGGCACUGUAUGCUGAGGACCGCAGCCACAGUCGAAUGAGGAUCAGGGCUAGAGAAUGAGCAAUGGUGUUGAACAUGGUAGAAAUCACUUAAGCCUGGCGUUCCUGUGGUACCCGAGGUACGUGGAGUCGGUGAAGAACAGCGAGUAUUGUGAAUACAUCCUGGCUCCGAACGAUAGACAUCGGACUUUGGAGUUUUUAAAGUUUAUGUUGGAGGAAGUGGGAUGCCAACAUGACAAGACUGUGUUUGAUGUGUGAAGUCGCUGUAGCCUCAUCGAACGCUUCGCCUUGGCGGCCGGCUGGGAGAACUUAUUAGGCCUCCCACCGGCAGUGGGACUGAGGAUGAGGGACCAUCUGCAGCGUCGUGGAAGUGGUUCUCCUUGAUGAAGGAGGAAGGCCUCGUCCUGAGAGGAGAGCCCUUCCACAUCCUCUGCACCAUCCCCUACCUCAGUGCCACCACAGCGGACAGGGGAAGAGGAGGAGACAGAAGCCAAGGGGCCACGGCGGGGUGGCCUUUUCAGUCUCCUCCAGCAGGCAGAGAGGAGGAGAGGGCCAGGAGAGAGGAAGAAAGAGGACAAAGGGGGAGCAACGAGAGAGCCAUUUGUCUGACAGUUGGAGCUGACAAGAAACCACAGUUUUGUCCUCGCAGACGAACGCCACUUUGCUCAUCC